rnacentral:rRNA from 1 species
ACCGGCAGCUCAAGUGGUGGCCAUUAUUAUUGGGCCUAAAGCGUUCGUAGCCGGUUUGAUAAGUCUCUGGUGAAAUCCCGCAGCUUAACUGUGGGACUUGCUGGAGAUACUAUCAGACUUGAGGUCGGGAGAGGUUAGGGGUACUCCCAGGGUAGGGGUGAAAUCCAAUAAUCCUGGGAGGACUACCUGUGGCGAAGAGGGCUAACUGGAACGAACCUGCCGGUGAGUAACGAAAGCCAGGGGCGCGAACCG